UCCCCGACAAAAGCCCCUCGUUUUUUUUACUCUGUAGGAACGUCGCCCCAAGCUGCAAACGUGGCAAGGAGUGCCUGAGGGUAAUGUCAGGAGUCAGUCUGCUGUGCAUCUGGUUCUAUCAGUACUUUUAUCUGCCUCUUCCUUCCUUCAGGGGAGUUGGAGAGAGGACAAAACCUUCAGAGCUGGUGGAAGUAAAGGCCCGCUUGUCCUGGAUCUUCCUUAAAUUAACACAGGACAACUCUAAGUUUAUCUCCUAGCUCAGGGUGAAGCUUAAUGGACUUACCAGUGUCAGCAAGGUUCUCCUUCUCUCCUGUGAUGUUUACAAACUAUGUGGUUGUUUACUGAUUCCCACCCACUGGCUGUACAGUUUGUCUUUUGAACUUAGAUGAAGAUGAAAGAACUGGAGAUAGAAAGAAACCAGCGUUUGAAACCAGCAAGAUAAAACAGCAGCUCCAAGAAAAUGGAACAACUUCUUGCAAGCGUCCCUAGUAGAGAGCAAAGAAACCUCACCAAUCUGCAAAUAAGGCAGCUCUUUGUUUACCUUAGAAGUAGGUUUCGCUCUUUGUACACUGGAACGAUAUAAAAGAGGCAAAUAACUGAGUGACAAAUCAUCUUCUUCCUUGAGGAACAGCCGCUUUCCACAUGGCUGUCUGAAGAACUGCAUUGUAAGCUGAGAAAGGAGAAGAAGAAGGGAUUGGACAUUACACAAAAUCUGCGUAGCUCAUGAACAGCAACAGCUAAGCUCUGUGAUAAAACAUGUGAACAUCAGGUCCUACAUUUGUGGGUCUCCAUUCUCGCCCAAACAUAAUGCCUGUGACUUGCCAGUUACACUAUAUUUUGCAAACUCAUUUAACCGGAUAGUUUUACUACUGCUUUUGGGGGGUAGAAUGAGCAAGCAACAGCAGUAAAGUCAACUAAAUAUACUUAAGAAGUUAACAUCUCAAAUGAUAUGCACAGAUUUUCCUUAUGAUUGAGUUUCAGCAGUAAUGUACAUUCUUAAAAUACUUUAAAGUUUGGCUCAAAACCUAGUAAGUUCAAGCAUAGAACAGUAGAGUAUUAAAAUGCAAGUGCAAAUUCUCUUCAUGCUCUGUCAUAAAUAAAGCCAAUAUAGGUCCUAUUUCCCUUUACAGAUAGUAAGGAAAUGCUGCUUGCUCUUAUGACACCUCUACACAGUCACUUCUCAAAUGUUUUUACUUCAUUAAAAAAAAAAAA